rnacentral:rRNA from 1 species
CUACGUGCCAGCAGCCGCGGUAAUACGGAAGGUCCAGGCGUUAUCCGGAUUUAUUGGGUUUAAAGGGAGUGUAGGCGGUUUGUUAAGCGUGUUGUGAAAUUUAGGUGCUCAACAUUUAACUUGCAGCGCGAACUGUCAGACUUGAGUACACGCAACGUAUGCGGAAUUCAUGGUGUAGCGGUGAAAUGCUUAGAUAUCAUGAAGAACUCCGAUUGCGAAGGCAGCAUACGGGAGUGUAACUGACGCUUAAGCUCGAAGGUGCGGGUAUCGAACAGGAUUAGAUACCCUGGUAGUCCGCACAGUAAACGAUGGAUGCCCGCUGUUAGCGCCUGGCGUUAGCGGCUAAGCGAAAGCAUUAAGCAUCCCACCUGGGGAGUACGCCGGCAACGGUGAAACUCAAAGGAAUUGACGGGGGCCCGCACAAGCGGCGGAGCAUGCGGAUUAAUUCGAUGCAACGCGAAGAACCUUACCAAGGCUUGACAU